rnacentral:rRNA from 1 species
GAUGAACGCUGGCGGCGUGCCUAACACAUGCAAGUCGAACGGAGAUUACGGACGGAAGUUUUCGGAUGGAAGACUGUAAUUCUUAGUGGCGGACGGGUGAGUAACGCGUGGGCAACCUGCCCUAUACAGGGGGAUAGCAGCUGGAAACGGCUGGUAAGACCGCAUAAGUUGGCGAAACCGCAUGGUUUUGUCGGGAAAUGAGCAAUCAGGUAUAGGAUGGGCCCGCGUCCGAUUAGCCAGUUGGCAGGGUAAAAGCCUACCAAAGCGACGAUCGGUAGCCGGACUGAGAGGUCGGACGGCCACAUUGGGACUGAGACACGGCCCAAACUCCUACGGGAGGCAGCAGUGGGGGAUAUUGCACAAUGGAGGAAACUCUGAUGCAGCGACGCCGCGUGAGUGAAGAAGUAUUUCGGUAUGUAAAGCUCUAUCAGCAGGGAAGAUGAUGACGGUACCUGACUAAGAAGCCCCGGCUAACUACGUGCCAGCAGCCGCGGUAAUACGUAGGGGGCAAGCGUUAUCCGGAUUUACUGGGUGUAAAGGGAGCGCAGGCGGUUUUGCAAGUUGAGAGUGGAAGCAGGGGGCUCAACCCCCUGACUGCUCCCAAAACUGUAAAACUUGAGUAUGGGAGAGGCAGGCGGAAUUCCUAGUGUAGCGGUGAAAUGCUUAGAUAUUAGGAAGAACACCGGUGGCGAAGGCGGCCUGCUGGACCAAAACUGACGCUGAGGCUCGAAAGCGUGGGUAGCAAACAGG